rnacentral:misc_RNA from 1 species
UUUAUAUAUGGCUUAUGGGUUAAGACUUUUUAACAUCAUUGGUUUUACUUUUAUUUGGAUUUAACAUCUUCUCGUUAUAUUUUUUUUCUCGGUUUAAGGCUCUUUAACAUUUUUUGUUUCAUUUUGAUUUAAAUUUAGGUUACAUUUGGGGCUUUGAGGAAAAUGGGGGAGAGUAAAACGGGGAGGAAUAUGAACUUGUACUGUG